rnacentral:lncRNA from 1 species
UUGACAUUAUUUCAAAAUUUUUAUAUAAAGUUUUAAUAUUUAAUUUUUAAUUUGAAUUUAAAUUAAUAUAUUAUAAAGAUAAAGUUAGUAUAUUAUUUGAUUACGUUUUUUUGUAUCCACCUAAACCAAAUACCGACAAUGAGAAUGAUUUACUCCGAUUCCAAUUCAGGUGAUGAAUCAAGCAGAAUUAGGUAAUGAGUCAUUCCGUUUUCAAUUCCAGCUUAUUUUGGUUCUGAUUCUUAUUCUGAUUCUAACUUCGAACCAAACACGCCCAUAGUGUAUCUUAUACAUUUCGAAAAUUAGAAUUAUUUUUUACUUUUAUAUUUUGUCCCCUAUCAUAUUUUCAUAAAAUUUAACU